GAUGAAGAACGCAGCAAAAUGCGCUAAGUAAUGUGAAUUGCAGAAUUCAGUGAAUCAUCGAAUCUUUGAACGCACAUUGCGCCCGCCAGUAUUCUGGCGGGCAUGCCUGUUCGAGCGUCAUUUCAACCCUCAAGCCCUCGGGUUUGGUGUUGGGGAUCGGCGAGCCUUUCUGGCAAGCCGGCCCCGAAAUCUAGUGGCGGUCUCGCUGCAGCCUCCAUUGCGUAGUAGUAAAACCCUCGCAACUGGAACGCGGCGCGGCCAAGCCGUUAAACCCCCAACUUCUGAAUGUUGACCUCGGAUCAGGUAGGAAUACCCGCUGAACUUAAGCAUAUCAAUAAGCGGAGGA
rnacentral:misc_RNA from 1 species